GGACGAAGUCUGACGGAGCACGCCGCGUGACGAUGACGGCUUUCGGGUCUGAAGUUCUGUUGUCAGGGAAGAACAAGUACCGGAGUAACUGCCAGUACCUUGACCGUACCUGACCAUAACGCCACGGCUAACUACAUG
rnacentral:rRNA from 1 species